CCCGUCCGCCAGCCGCAACCCCUUCCGUCGACCGGCCGGAAGAUGGCCGCGCCGUGCACUUCCAUCACAGACGACCGCCUGGCCGUCCUCCUGGAGGAGAUCUUCCUCCGGCUACCCACCCCAGCCGACCUCGUCCACGCCUCCGCCGCCUGCGUCCCCUUCCGCCAGAUCGCCACCGGCAACUCCUUCCUCCGCCGCUUCCGUAAGGAACACUCUCCCUCUUUCAUCGGCUUCAUGGACUGGCACGGCUUCCGCCCCGCGCUCCCUCCUCACACCACCGCGCCCAUAGCCAGUGCAGUCGCCCGCGCUGCUGACUUCACCUUCUCCUUCCUCCCUAGCCCCACCCCCUACACGCUGCUCCCAGACCCCGGCUGCUGGUGCGUCCGCAGCAUUCGCGACGGCCGCGUCCUCCUCGACCGAGGCCACAAGAGAGACUAUGGUUCAGUCCUCUUCCCGGAGCUCGUGGUGUGUGACCCGUUACACCGGCGAUACCACCUAUUUCCACCGAUCCAUGACGACCUAGCCGCGUCGGUGAGGGACGCACUCCAUCUGACUUACCAGCGCAGCUGUGAGGUCAUCCUCGUUCCUCCCGGCAAGGAAGUGGACAAGGAAGAGUACGAAACUUCAUUUCGUGUAAUCUGGAUGGCACAGUGCAAGACCAAGGUGGUGGCAUUUUUCUAUUCUUCAACCACGGGGCAGUGGCAAUCCAUUGCAUCAAAGGCUUGGAGCGAUUUGUUAGUCUGCGGCAUGCCAAUUGUAUCUUUGAAAUACCGUUUGUUCUACCGUAGUCAUUAUGCCUACGGAUGUUUGUACUGGCCGAUGACGAAUGGGAUAGAAUUUGGGCUGAAGAAUCGUCCGGGGGAAGCUAUGCUCAUGCUUGACACCAUGACAAUGGAGUUCUCCGUUGCUGAUUAUCCACCUGGAAGAUGGAGAGGGUUCCAGGUUGGUAUCGUGGAGGCAGGGGAAGGCAGGCUUGGAUUGCUCACUUUCUCAAUUAAUGAUGCAGCAUCACAACUUCGUUAUAUGGUUAGGCAAAACACAGAUGGGAGUAACAAUCAGUGGCAGUUGGAGAAGAUAAUCCCCUUGGGUUCGGGCAAUCAUUCUAUUGUUGCUUCAACCGAGAGGUACUUGCUCCUCCUAAGGUUAGAUUUUGGGACAGACCACUCUGAAGGUCUCUCAUUAGAUGUCAAGACAUUUCAGCUUGAGAGGGUGUGUGAGCUAUCUGACGUUACAAGCAGGUCAAUAUAUACCAGCUUCCCUCCAUCACUGUCAUCCAGGACAGUAUGAAGUGAAUGAUGCUGCAUAUUUGAACAAGUAUUCUGUCUACAUGCUGAAGAAUGCUAUUGCUUAUAUAAUUACCCUGUGAUGAAAGGGCUUCAGAUGGCUGUCAUGGCAAUUGCAUCCUCAAGGACGAGUGCCGACAUGGUGCUGCAUACUUUUGCUGCAGAAGAAGUGGUUUUCUUGUUCUCCGGUUGGAGUUCUGUACAAGUUCUUUUAUAUCACAAUUGCCUAUCAUUCGUCUUUCCUUAUGCUAGCUGGGAAGGAGGUUUUUUUCCUCCGGACAUUUUGAUUCUCUUUGAAACAUCUUGUCAAACUAUCUUAUCAGUUUCAUGCAUCCUGAAACUUGGGGUCUGGGGAUCCUUAAUUAGUUGAUAGUAACAAGAUCUGUUCCUUU